rnacentral:rRNA from 1 species
GAUGAACGCUGGCGGCGUGCCUAAUACAUGCAAGUCGAGCGAACGGACGAGAAGCUUGCUUCUCUGAUGUUAGCGGCGGACGGGUGAGUAACACGUGGAUAACCUACCUAUAAGACUGGGAUAACUUCGGGAAACCGUAGCUAAUACCGGAUAAUAUUUUGAACCGCAUGGUUCAAAAGUGAAAGACGGUCUUGCUGUCACUUAUAGAUGGAUCCGCGCUGCAUUAGCUAGUUGGUAAGGUAACGGCUUACCAAGGCAACGAUGCAUAGCCGACCUGAGAGGGGGAGCGGGCAACAUUGAACUGAAACACGGUCCAGGCUCCUAAGGGAGGCAGCAGUAGGGAAUCUUCCGCAAUUGGCGGAAGCCUGACGGAGCAACGCCGAGUGGGUGAUGAAGGUCUUCGGAUCGUAAAACUCUGUUAUUAGGGAAGAACAUAUGUGUAAGUAACUGUGCACAUCUUGACGGUUCCUAAUCAGAAAGCCACGGCUAACUACGUG